GACGAACGCUGGCGGCGUGCCUAACACAUGCAAGUCGAGCGAUGAAAUCCCUUCGGGGAUGGAUUAGCGGCGGACGGGUGAGUAACACGUGGGUAACCUGCCUCAAAGAGGGGGAUAGCCUCCCGAAAGGGAGAUUAAUACCGCAUAACAUUAGUUUUUCGCAUGAGAAACUAAUUAAAGGAGUAAUCCGCUUUGAGAUGGACCCGCGGCGCAUUAGCUCGUUGGUGAGGUAACGGCUCACCAAGGCGACGAUGCGUAGCCGACCUGAGAGGGUGAUCGGCCACAUUGGAACUGAGACACGGUCCAGACUCCUACGGGAGGCAGCAGUGGGGAAUAUUGCACAAUGGGCGAAAGCCUGAUGCAGCAACGCCGCGUGAGUGAUGAAGGCCUUCGGGUUGUACAGCUCUGUCUUUGGGGACGAUAAUGACGGUACCCAAGGAGGAAGCCACGGCUAACUACGUGCCAGCCGCCGCAGUAA
rnacentral:rRNA from 1 species